rnacentral:rRNA from 1 species
CCUACGGGAGGCAGCAGUGGGGAAUAUUGGACAAUGGGCGAAAGCCUGAUCCAGCAAUGCCGCGUGAGUGAUGAAGGCCUUAGGGUUGUAAAGCUCUUUUACCAGGGAUGAUAAUGACAGUACCUGGAGAAUAAGCUCCGGCUAACUCCGUGCCAGCAGCCGCGGUAAUACGGAGGGAGCUAGCGUUGUUCGGAAUUACUGGGCGUAAAGCGUGCGUAGGCGGCGAUUCAAGUCAGAGGUGAAAGCCUGGAGCUCAACUCCAGAACUGCCUUUGAAACUAGAUUGCUAGAAUCAUGGAGAGGUGAGUGGAAUUCCGAGUGUAGAGGUGAAAUUCGUAGAUAUUCGGAAGAACACCAGUGGCGAAGGCGGCUCACUGGACAUGUAUUGACGCUGAGGCACGAAAGCGUGGGGAGCAAACAGGAUUAGAUACCCUGGUAGUCCACGCCGUAAACGAUGAUAACUAGCUCGCGACGGCGUCAUAGAGUACGUUUGGUUGGUCGGCGAGCGUACGACGAGUUAAGUUAGUUCCGUCCGUCGGGUAAGGUACGGUCGGUUCGAAGUAAGUUAAACGUUAACUAAGUUAGUUAGUUAGUACGGCGUUGAGACGUUGCCGACGGACGACGACGGAGGGAGGUUAGGAGG